CACGUAGGGCGCAAGCGUUGUCCGGAAUUAUUGGGCGUAAAGAGCUCGUAGGUGGUUUGUUACGUCUGCUGUGAAAUCCUAGGGCUUAACCCUGGGCUUGCAGUGGAUACGGGCAGACUAGAGGUAGGUAGGGGAGAAUGGAAUUCCUGGUGUAGCGGUGAAAUGCGCAGAUAUCAGGAGGAACACCGGUGGCGAAGGCGGUUCUCUGGGCCUUACCUGACACUGAGGAGCGAAAGCGUGGGAG
rnacentral:rRNA from 1 species